rnacentral:miRNA from 1 species
AGAUGACCCGAGAUGGCCCGAGAUGGCCCGAGAUGGCCCGAGAUGUGACCCGAGGUGGCCCGAGGUGCGCCUGCGCGUCUCGUCGAGAUGCUCCUGCUUCAGCCGGUGCAGCAGCAGCGCGCCCGCCUUCGGGUCACCUCGGGUCAUCUCGGGUCAUCUCAGGUCACCUCAGGUCAUCUCGGGUCAUCU